GUCUAUGGUCAUGCCACCCUGAAAGUGCCCGAUUUCGAUUUCAUCUGAUCUCGGAAGCUAAGCAGAGUAGGGCCUGGUUGGUUCUUGGAUGGGAGACCACCUAGGUAGGAAUACCAGGUGUUGUAGGUG
rnacentral:rRNA from 1 species